AUGGCGGAGCCCGUGCGCUCGCUCUUUGACUACCGCGAGCCUCCGACCCUGGACAGCGACGGGGAGGGGAGCAAACCGGCGCCCCCCCGGGGGCGUGUGUGUGGCCGGAAGAGGAAGGGGACCCCGGUGAAGGUGUGUGACAGGGUUUUUGUCACCGAGGAUGAGGAGGAGAGUUUGUCGGAGCACAGCUUUUGCCCAGGUGACGGGCAGUACCAGGAGGGCGAGGAGGACAGACUGCCUCCACCUGACAGCUCGUAUUACCUGGCAGACCCCUCCCCGAUUUGUGUGUCGGACCUCGGCGAUGAGGGCGGAAGCGGGGCCAGGGGGAGCGUACUGUACCCACCGCCUCCCAACUGCCGCAUCCGAGAGGUGCAUUGUGGGAGUCAAGUGCGGCUCGUCGUCAUAGCGAUCCGAGACAUCUCCAAGGGCGAGGAGAUUACCGUAAACUAUAGUCUGACGGAAUGGGGAGAAAAUGCCAUGGGAUUCCACAGCUCCGUGUCCCCUGGUGGGUUUGAGUGCAGCUCUGAUCCCGAGAACAACAUCAAGAAGGAGGAGGAAUCGGGUCCCGUGUCUCUCUCGCUUGCUGUCUCAGACUACCUCACGCCCUCCUGGUCCCUCUCUCCAUCAUCGUCCCCUCUCUCCCACUCGGAACCCAGCGACUCUGAUCACGAGGAUGAAGAGGAAGACGAGGAAGACGAGCUGGAGGAGCAGCGAGGUCGCAUGUUGCGGCGACGAAAGAGGCGGAAGACGCCCGCUGCGUCCAAGAAGAAGGCGUCUCCGAGGGCCGCCAGCCGCUCACACCCCUUCUCCCGCUCUGUGCCUCAGACCGCUGCGUCUCGGGCUCUCUUCAAGUCCCCUGCCCCAGCCCCCACCACCAGUAUCAACAACAACAUUAACAUUAACAUUGGGCGCGGUGUGGGUGGGGCCACAGGAGGUCCUGCACCGAAGCAACGCUGCCAGCACUGUGGCAGGCACUUCCGCUCACUGGCCCGCCACCUGGCAAAGCACCAUGCCCAGCAGCCUGAGGUCAAGUCCAGCAUGGAGCUCAGCCAGUUCCGCCCUCACACAGGCCCCGCCCACUCCCACACAAGCUCCUCCCUACCUUCGUCCUCAUCUGCCACUUCAUCCACUCCACCCAGUCUCUUCACCAGGGACGCGCAGCCUGGUGCGAUGUCCCUGUCUCUGUCCCUGACUCCAUCAGCUCACAGCCACGCCCCCACAGCGUCCAGGAAGAGCCCAGCCCUCUCGACCUCUCCCAGAAAGAGUCCCAUACCGGCACUGCAGUCUCCGCCUCGGAAGGGGUCCGUCUUAGCUGCUGCACCAAAAAAGAGCCCCGCCCCUUCAACUCCUCCCAGGAAAGGUGGACGUCGGAUGAAGAAGGAGAAAGAGGAGGAGGCAGAGCCGGCCGAGUCAGGUGCGGGGCGAGUGAAUCAGGUGCAGGAGGUGCCGCCCCCGACCACCUACCGGAGUGAGGCUAAAGGAGAAGAGCAACAGGAAAGGGCACCGGGAAGAGAGGAGGAGAGUGCAGGAGAGGACAAGAAAGGGGCUGUGACCAGUGCCGGCCGGUCCCACAUGUUGCCGCUGCUGUCGUCGCUCUCGUCCCUGGUCAUAUACUUGCAGCGCCUGCAGCACUCGGCCUUCCUGUCGCUGUCGCGCUCGCCACAGUCGGCUGAGGCCUGGCGGCUGCUGUGUCACUCGAGCCUGGCACUGCUCAUCCUCUACAAUCGGCGGCGUGAGUGUGAGGCCUCCAAGCUCACUCUGCAGGAGUACUGUGCCCGCGUCCGUCCGCAGUGUCCCGCCCCGGUACCCCCCGGGGCCCCACCCGCCCUCACCCCGUUGGAGGCCUCGCUCUCUCCUUUCGAGCGCCAGGUGCUUCCCCACCUCCCACGGGUGGGUGUGCAGGGCAAGCGGGGCCGCGUGCAGCCCCUCAUCUUGCCGCCCCACAGCGAGCCUUGCCUGGAGCUGCUGCUACAGACCCGUUCGGGCGUGGGCGUGGACCCGCAGAACCCCUACGUGUUUGCACGGCCUUACCACUCGCCAGCCACGCCCUUGCGGGGCACCGACCUACUGCGCAGCCUGGCACGUGCCAGCGGCACCCGCAAUCCGCGUGCACUCACCCAAACACGGCUGCGCCGGCAGGUGGCCAUCCUCACACAGCUGUUGCUGCUGGUCGAGGGUGAGGGGGGCGAAGGAGGUGCUGCUGCCCGUCGCCUCGAGAACUUCCUGCAGAAGGAGUACCAUGUGACGCAGAGCUGCUCCGGCAUCGCCCAGGACCCGGGGCUCAUGGGACGUGUGGCUCGUGUGGUGCUAUGCGGCGAGAGGGACGGUGUCCUCUUUCGGGGCAUGAGCCUGCACCACAUCUGCCUGGAGCUAGACGUGAUGUCGGGGAACUCGGCCGACUCCUUCUCGGAUGACUCCGAGGGAGAGCGGGCGCCGGGCAAGGAGAGCGCCACCAAGAAGGACGCAGCCACCUCCAAGUCGCCCCGCCAAGGCAAAGCCAGCUCCACCCCUGCCUCAGCCAGCCAGGCCGGCUGUACCCCGGUAUCUCGCAAGAGGGGUGGAGGGCAGCCCAAGCCAGGGAAGCGUGGGGUCCUCAAGCGGCCAUGGUCGGAGGCAGAGCGUGCCGCUGUGGAGACCCACCUGACGAGGAACAUCAUGGAGCUGCGGGUUCCUGCCAAGGCAGACUGCGAGCGCUGCCUUCAACACUGCCCCCUACUGGUGGCCAAUCGCAGGGACUGGCGUGCCAUCAAGUUCUACUGCCACAACCGCAUCCAGCUGCUGAAGAAAAAGGGCAGGCGGGAGGUGGCGGAACAGGGUGGCUCCGGCACCAUCUGAGGGGGUGGGGGGAACUAGCACUCUGUGUCCAAAACUGUUGGCUGCACCAGCUUGAUGUAGUAGUGAAGUGAAAGCACACACUGCAGAGAGGUUGCACUCUGCAGCAGUUGAUGUUACACCCACCCCAUCCAGAACAUGAAGUUCGGGGUUGGACGAUACCCCCCCCAGCACCGCGCUGGUUCUUUUUCUACCUCUGUUCUCAGUCGUUCAUUCAGCAUUGUUCUUUGGACAGGUGUUCAGCUCACCUGAUGUUCCAGGUGUGAAGAGGAGUGUGUGUGUGUUCCCUGGUAUCCCCUGGACAGACCUUGACUUAUUUCCCUCUGUCUGCAAACGUACCAUUAUGCAGACACAGGGCUACUGUUGUUGUGACGAGAAGGGACACACACACACGCUCGAUUUCGCCGACUGAACUGAAGCGAGUGUGAUGCAGCCUAUUUCUCAUUCCAUCUUCCUGCUGGGAACCGCAGCUGUAAAAUUCUUGUUACUUUUAUGAACAAAAAUGUGAGCGGAGCAUUAGCAACGUACAUAUGAAGUGAUGUACAGUAUCAUUUUGCCACUUGACUACCUGCAUAUUUGUUGCUGUUUUGUUGUAUUUUUACAAUACAGUGACAGGUGUAUGGAAAUUGAAUUUAAUGACAGCACUUCACUGACAGUGGUUUUAAUACGUAUCAUAAUAAUUAUUGUUAUAUGACCGUUCUACUGGAGGACACUGAAUGAACCUCGGGAAUGUUCCAGAACUCGGUUAGUGGAAAUGCCCUGUGUGUCAUGGCAGAAAGCAGCUUUGUGUGUUUUGUCCUUUUCCUUUUUGUUGUCAUAUACUUGAAGUUAUUUAAUAAUGUCCAUUUUCUCUCAUUGGAGACACUCACAAACUCAAGGUUCCUGUUGCUCAUGUACAGAAUAUUAUAUUUCACAUUCUUGUACUGCUCACUGAUAUUUUGAUUCCCAUGGAGACAUGCUGUAAUUUUUUCUGUAAAUAAUCUGUGAACCUAUAAAAGGAUUU
ensembl:lncRNA